rnacentral:lncRNA from 1 species
GAGACAGGUUUCGCUGUGUUCACCAGGAUGGUCUCAAUUUCCUGACCUCAUGAUCUGCCCGCCUCGGCCUCCCAAAAUGGAAAGCACGUCCUUCACCAUAAGUUGCUUUUGUCUGUUUUUCAACAUUAGGUCACAACUAGGAUCUAUUUCCUGCCUUUUCUUACGACCAUGAAUCAUGAAUAUUAAUGCAAUUCCAUUAAGGUUGCCACGGAGUGUCCAGGAUGCUGGUGGAGGGGGCGGUAGGCUGCCACUUUAUCAUGUUAUUGGAUUUGUUUAAAGAAAGGUUCCUGACACGAUUUUCCAAAUGCAGCCUGGUGAGCAGUCCCUGCCAUCAGGAUACUAUGAGAAAAAGGAUCUCUCUCCCUCUGGAAGAGGGACGCAGUACUCACGCAUUCUUCAGGAGGUGUUCCAGAAGAGGUCAUUGUUAUCAUAGGAGAUGACAGCUCCAUGCAUGUUACUGCCCUUGAAAACUUUCCAGUGGGACAAGAUGUGGAGACGGUAAACAGAGACAUUGAUGAUUCUGAUUCUGGUAGGCUUGGAAUAAUGUGUAUGUUUGUGUGUUAGUUUUUAACAAAAAAGUUUAAAAAGUGAAAGGAUAUUUUUAAAAAAUUAAAUAGUAAAAAGCUUAUAGAAUAAGGACAUAAAGAAAAUACUUUUGUACAGUUGUGCAAUGUAUUUGUGUUUUAAUUUAAAUGUUAUUACAAAAGAGUCAAAAAGUUUAUAAAAUGAAAGUUUAUAAAGUGAAAAAGUUAAAUUAACAUAAGUUUAAUAUAUUAUUAAAGAAAGAUUUUUAAAAUAAAUUAAGUGUAGCUUAAGUGUACGAUGUUUAUAAAGUCUGCAGUAGUGUACAGUAAUGUCCUAGGCCUUCACAUUGACUCACUACUCACUCAGUCAUGCAGAGCAACUUCCAGUCCUGCAAGCUCCAUUCAUUGUAAGUGCUCUAUACAGGUGAUCCAUUUUUGAAUGUUUUAAUUAUAUUUCUGCUGUACUUUUUCAAAGUUUAAUGUGUUUAGAUACACAAAUACUUACUACUAUGUUACAGUUGCCUACAGUAUUUAUUGCAGUCACAUGCUGUACAGAUUUGUAGCGUAGGAGCAAUAGGCUAUACUAUAUAGCCUAGGUGUAUAGGCUAUACCAUCUAGGUUUAAGUACACUCUAAGGUGUUUGCACAAUGACAGAUUGCCUAAUGACUCAUUUCUCAGAAUGUAUCAUUGUCUUUAAGCAAUGCAUGACUAUUUCUCAAUGUCCUUUCAUCACUAUAUUGAGUGUUCUGUCUUUUCAAUUAUGACUGCGCCUGCUUCAUGUCAAACAUAUACAGAUAUACCUCAAAGAUAUUGUGAAUUCAGUUCCAAACUACCACAAUAAAGUGAAUAUUGUAAUAAAGUCAGUCACAUUUUUUGGUUUCCCAAUGUAUAGAAAAGUUAUGUUUACACUAUCCUGUAGUCUAUUCCAUGUGCAAUAGCAUUAUGUCUAAAAAAUGUAAAUACCUUAAUUAAAAAUGCUUUAUUGCUAAGAAAUGCUAACAAUCAUCUGAACCUUCAGCAAGUCAUAAUCUUUUUGCUGAUGAAGGGUCUUACUUUGAUAUUGAUGACUGCUGACUGAUCAAGGUGGUGGUUGUUAAAUGUUGGUGUGGCUGUGAUAAUUUCUUAAAAUAAGACAACAAUAGAGUUUGCUGCAUUGAUUGACUUCCUUUCAAGAAAGAUUUCUUUGUAGCAUGUAAUGCUGUUUGAUAUAGCAUUUUACCCACAGUAGAACAUUUUCAAAAUUGGAGUCAAUACUUUGAAACCC